UACGUAGGGAGCAAGCGUUGUUCGGAUUUACUGGGCGUAAAGGGCGCGUAGGCGGCGCGGUAAGUCACUUGUGAAAUCUCUGAGCUUAACUCAGAACGGCCAAGUGAUACUGCAGUGCUAGAGUGCAGAAAGGGCAAUCGGAAUUCUUGGUGUAGCGGUGAAAUGCGUAGAUAUCAAGAGGAACACCUGAGGCGAAGGCGGGUUGCUAGGCUGACACUGACGCUGAGGCGCGAAAGCUAGGGGAGCAAACGGG
rnacentral:rRNA from 1 species